rnacentral:rRNA from 1 species
AACGUAGGUGGCGAGCGUUAUCCGGAUUCAUUGGGCGUAAAGAGCUUGUAGGUGGCUCCUGUAAGUUGGACGUGAAAGUCCCGGGCUUAACCCGGGGAGGCCGUUCAAUACUGCGGGGCUGGAGGGCGUCAGAGGGGGGUGGAAUUCCUGGUGUAGCAGUGAAAUGCGUAGAUAUCAGGAGGAACACCCGUGGCGAAAGCGGCCCCCUGGGGCGCGCCUGACACUGAGAAGCGAAAGCUAGGGGAGCAAA